GCUUGGGAGGCUGAGGAAGGAGGGUCACUUGAGCCCAGGAGUUUGAGGCUGCAAAAUUACACCACUGCACUCCAGCCUGGGUGACAGAACAAGACCCUGUCUCUUAAAAAUAUUCAGAACAAACAAACCAAAUACCACUCCUCUCUUCCCAAAAUUCAGACACGGAGAGAGUUUCUCCUCAAAGUCCAAAGUGCACAUAAGUUGUGGGGAUCUUAUUAACAAUGUUGAUUGUGAUGCUGUAGGUUUGGGGACGACUCAGGAUUCCCUGGAGACAUCAAUGCUGCUGGUCCAUGGGCCACAGCUUGGAUAGAAAGGGUUUAGGGAGAGAUUGACAAAUAAGUAAUAAUACAGGGUGGGUGAGUACUGCUGCACUGGCAUUCUAAAAGCAGAGUGAGACAUACAGAGGGGCAUGGGGAGUGGGAAGGAGACAGACAAAGCAUCCUAGAAGUGGAUGACUUGGGCCCUGAAUAGGUGAGUCAAUUUACCAAGCAAAAAAGUAGUAGGAAAGGCCUUUGAUCAGAGGGAGCACCAUAGAUGUGGACAUGGGCUGGCUCCUGCAUAGAGUGAAGAAUGCAGAGGAAGGUGAUGGGACAGUGGCCAGAGAGGAGGCCAGAAAGCUCACCAGGGGCUGGAUGGGGAAGGGUCAGUCCUGUUUGCCAUGUAAGACCUAAGACUGCAGUCAGCAGGGAGUCUUGAGGUUUCAUAGAGGUCUAGUUAUACAGGAUAUGACAAACUCCUUUGAAAAGAGCCAAAACUACAUCAUGUUAGAGAAUUUGCAUAACCCAAAGGACAUUGUGCUUGAACACUCCAAGGCAGUGAAUAAUCUGCAAAGGAAUAAGACUGUAGGCGAGAGGCAGGAUUUUACACUUCCACAGGCUUGGGAAACAAACAGAACAGGAAUUGAUUUCUGGUUCCCUGCUUUCUAGCUAUAUAACUUCAAGAAAAUUAAUUAACUUUCUGAAUCUUAGUUUUCUCAUCUGUAGAAAGGAUGCAAUAAAUCCUGUCGCAUAAAAGAAUUGUGAAGAGGAAGUCAUUCAUUUAAUUCAUUGAAGCACUACAUUUUGGCAAAGCAUGCAGUUUGCUGAUAACAGGAAGUAUUUGUUAACUUAUUAUUAAUGUUGAUUUGGAGCUCACAUGAACUUUUGCCUAGGAAAUGACCUGGUAGAUUGGAUAGUUACCAUGUUGAUAGAUUGCCAAGCGCCUUUUCUCAUGUGUGGGGUUCUGAUGCCAUGGUCAGCUGGAAGCUCAUUAGUCUUGUGGGUGGAAUGCAGCACCAGUUGUCUGAUUCAGCAAUGCUGUGAGAGAAUUGAGAGGGUGUUCAUUCAGUAAAGGGUGGCAAGGAUUUUCUUAAAUGUUUAAAAAUAAAAAAGACAAAGAAAUGUUUUCUCUUUAGGGGAGGGAAAAUGGGGGACUGCCACAGUACUCCCCAAGGACUUAAUUCAAUAAACACAUUAAUAAUAAUAGUUGAGAAGAUUUUCCUGACGCAACCAGAUGUAGGUUAGAUGGCCUUCUCUGCACUUCACAGUCUGCAGUGACCAUUUGCAGCCUGGCACUCCUCACAUUCAAUAUAGUCAGUAUUUUUCACCCUGUCUUCUCAAUUUGAGCUUCUUGAGGCAGACAGUUGUUUUUCUGUCUUUGAUUUCCCACUGCCUAGAGCAGGGGCACAUUGUUGACUUUCACUAACUGCUCUUAUCUACACACUUAUUCUCUGAGCUGUGUUAUCCUUGGUAGAAACGAAUGGUACUGGAGGAGGUGGGGCUUACAGAGCUCCGUGUCAUCACUCUGGGGAUCUGCAGUGUCCUUGUUGAUUAGUCAAUUCUGACUCUGUGCCCUACUUUGGGUAUUGUUUUUGAGAUCGAAGUGCCCCUCUUUAACCCUGUCUGCCUCCGCAUCAUGCUUCCUGUUCAUUAGGUCAGUCACAUGAGAAUAAACACCUUGUCUCCUCCCAUCAACUCCCAUCCUCCGACACCAACCCCUGCCUCUGAAUCACAGCCUAGAGAAUGGAGCCUGUGGGCCUCUCCCACGUGGGCUGAAUGUGGCCUUUGGGUGAGGACAUUUCUACCUGUCCCUGGAGGAGAGGCACUGAGUACUCCCUUGGCCUCCAACCUGGUGUCUCCCCUGACUCUUGGCGGUCAGUGAGACUUCCACCAGCUGUCUGCUGGUGUCCUUGGAUGUUGCCUUUGGUCUGACAGACUGGGCUUAUUUCAGUGCCUGCAACGGAACCUGUCUCUCAGCACCUCUCCAGCGGGGAGGCUGUAGCCCCUCCUACUCUGCUUUGUUCGUUUAAACUUAAAUGGGCCAAGACCAAAGGCGUGAUUUCAUGAAAUGAACAAGAAUUUCAUAAAAUGGAAUUUUCUAACAAUAUUCGUCAUUUCCAGUAAGGAUUUUAAAAAGGUCAGCUUUGCUUAAAUAGAUGCAAACAGAGUGGCAUUUAAAGAUUGGAAAGCAUUAUUUAAGAAAAUGAUAGAUUUCCCUUCCUAAAAUAGGGUAUCCUGCCUGGUGCUGGGGAGAGAGUAGGCAGGUCAAGGCCUUUGCCUCUCUAUAGCAUUUCUGCUACCCAAAGUCAUUGUCAGAUAUCCCUGAUUUUAUUUUAUCUGCCAGUGUACAACUUAAGCCAAAACUUGUGUCAGAACUGUUUUAAUGAAUAUAUUUGUUGCGGCCUUUUAAAAAUGAUAUCAUCAUCCUGUCAUCCAGUAAGCAGAGGAGGUAAGUGACUUUGAAGCAAGUGCUAUCGGUGAAAAAAGAUUUCAUCAUUAUGAGAGAACGUUGAAUGAUGAAAAAUAAAGGAGCGCAUUAUACAGUUGAGAGGUAACUUCCAAUUAUGUGUUGUCAGAAUGUCCUAUUGAACUUUCCUGGAGAUGGUGGAGAAAGGGUAGUUAACACCUAAUAUUUGUUUAGUAACUGCUGUCUUAUAGGCAUCGCAUGUACGUUAUCUCAUUCAGUCUUUAUAACCUUACCUGUUCCCUACCAUGAGGCAGGAAUUAUUCCUAUUUUUCAUGUAAUAAAUUGGAGGUUAGGUGACCUGUCCAAGGCCCCACAGCUCAUACAAAGUCUGUUACUAUUCUACACUCUGUAAGACUAGUGUAAUAUUUUAAUAUUCACAAUAAUACCCUGAUUAACUGAGUGGUGUGACAGUGUGUUGGUCUGCUCUUGCAUUACAUUAAGAAAUACCUGAGACUGGGUGGUUUAUGAAGAGAGGUUUAAUUGGCUCACUGUUCUGCAGGCUGUACAGGAAGCAUGGUGCCGGCAUCUGCUCAGCUUCUGGUGAGGGCCUCAGGAAGCUUCCAAUCAUAGCAGAAGACAAAGGGGGAGCAGGUGGGUCAUGGCCAGAGCAGGAAUGAGAGGGCAAAGGGGGAGGUCCAAGACUCUUAAAACAACCACAUCUUGGUAAACUAACUGAGCAAGAACUCACUCAACAUUAAGGGGGUUCGUGCUAAGCCAUUCAUGAGGGAUCCACCCCCAUGAUCCAACACCUCCCAUGAGGCCUCAUCUCCAACAUUAGGGAUCACAUCUCAACAUGAGAUUUGGAGGGGUCAGAUAUCCAAACCAUAUCUUUCUGCAUGUGGCCCCCGCAAAUCUCACGUCCUUCUCAUGUUAUAAAACACAAUCAUCCUUUUUCAGUAGUAAAUCUACCACUGUAUCUACUGCAGGUGGGACUGGAGGGCAGCAGCCCCCUUGUCACAGCUCCACUAGGCAGUGCCCUGGUGGGGACUGUGUAUUAGGGUUCCAACCCCACGUUUUCCCUCCACACUGCCCUAGUAGAGGCUCUGCAGCAAGCUUCUGCCUGGACACUCAGGCUUUCCCAUACACCCUCUGAAAUCCAUGUGGAAGCCGCCAAACCCCCUUCACUCUUGCAUUCCAUAGGCCUACAGGCUUAACACCACAUGGCAGCCACCAACGCUAAUGGCUGACCCUCUCUAAAGUGGUGUCCUGAACCAGAAUGUGGGGAGCAGUGUCCUAAGGCUGAUCAGGGCGGUGGGGCCAUGGGCCUGGCCCCUGAAACUACUUUUUCCUUCUAGGCCUCUGGGUUUGUGAUGGGAGUGGCUGCCUCAAAGAUUUCUGAAAUGCUUUCUAGGCCUUUUUCUCAUUGUCUUAGAUAGUAACACUUGGCACCCUUUUAGUCAUAGUAAUCUCUCUAGCAGGUGGUUGCUCCUCAGUGUGCUUGGAAUCCUUCUCGAUCACAGGGCCAGGCUGCAAGUUUUCCAGACUUUUAUGCUCUCCUCCUAUUAUUUAUUUAUUUAGGGACAGGAUCUUGCCCUGUCACUCAGGCUGGACUGCAGUGGUGUGAUCAUGGCUCAUUGCAGCUUCAACCUUCUGGGCUCAAGAGAUUCUCCAGUCUCAGCCUCUUGAGGAGCUGGGACUACAGAGAUGUACCAUCAUGCCUGGCUGAUUUUUAUUUUUUUGUAAAGAUGGAGUGUCACUAUGUUGCCAGGUCUAGCCUCAAACUCCCGGGUUCAAGCAAUCUUCACCCCUCGGCUUCCCAAAUUGCUGGGUUUAUAGCAUGAGCCACCAUGUCCAGUCACUGCUUUCUCUUUAAAUAUAAAUUCCAACUUGAAGUCAUUUCUUUGGUCCCAUUAUCUGAUUAUAAGCUGUCAGAAGCUACUAGGCCACUUCUUGAAUGUCUUACUGCUUAGAAAUUUCUUCUGCCAGAUACCCUAGGUCAUCACUCUUAAGUUCAAACUUCCACAAAUCCCUACGGCAUAAACCCAGUGAAGCCAAGUUCUUUGCCAGGGUGUAACGGGGUGACCAUUACUCUAGUUCCCAAUAACUUCCUUAUUUCCAUCUGAGAUCUCAUCAGUCUGGACUUCACUGUCCAUAUUUCUAUCAGCGUUUUGGUCACAACCGUUUAAUCAGUCUCUAAGGAGUUCCAAACUUUCCCUCAUCUUCCUGUCGUCUUCUUUGACCUCCAAACUCUUCCAACUUCUGGCCAUUACCAAGUUCCAAAGCUGCUUUCACAUUUUCAGCACCCUACUCCUCAGUACCAAUUUUCUGUGUUUGUCUGUUCUUGUAUGGCUGCAAAGAAAUACCUGCAGCUGGGUAAUCUGUAAAGAUGUUUAGUUGACUUACGGUUCUGCAGGCUGUACAGGAAGCAUGGCGCUGGCAUCUGCUCAGCUUCUGGUGUGGGCUUCAGGAAGCUUCUAAUCUCGGUGGAAGGCAAAGGGGGAGCAGGGUGUCACAUGGCAAGGGUGGGAGUGAGAGUGAAGGGGGAGGUCCCAGACUCUUUUAAACAACCAGAUCUCAUGUGAACUAUUUGGGUGAAAACUCACUUACUGCAAAGGGGAUGGUGCUAAGCCAUUCAUGAAGGACCUGCCCCCAGGAUCCAGUACCUCCCACUAGGCCCCACCUCCAACAUCUUCAACAUGAAAUUUGGAGGUGACAAAUAUCCAAACCAUAUCAUGUAGGGAUGGAGUGUUCUUAUUAAUUGAAAUUUCUUGUUGAAGGCCAUGAAAAUAUUUUUCAGUUUUGUUAAAAAUCUUUCAAAAUUAUGUUGAUUUCUUUUGCUAUCUUUAUAAAUACAUUAUAUGCUAUGCAUAAUUUAAUACUUAAAUUUUUGUUACUAAAUAUCUUGCCUUCCCUUGUGUUUAUUAUUGUGAACACCAGUUUCAGUAAACUGAUGCUUAAUAAGCUCACUAAAGUUUAGUGCUCAGGUAGCCUCAGCCACUCAUUUUACAGAUGAGGAAAUAGUGACCCAGAGAAAUUGAGAGACUUUGCUUAGAAUCACCAUGUUUGUUUUUAGAGGCACAGUGUGUGUGUUUGUGUGUGUGAUUAGAGAACUUUCAUCUGAAUGUUAUAAUAUGUGCCUAAAAGAAAUGGCUAUCACGUAAGUCCUGGUAGCACCUUAUCUUCUUUCUUAAAUUCACAGCAGGAUACAAAAAAAAAAAAAAAAAAAAAAAAAAAAAGGGAGAGCUCUGCUUUUCUAAGUUUUACUGUGUUCAGAAACCACCUUUCACUUAUUUGAUUCUUCCAAAUAUGUCAGACAGAUUAGGAUGAGAGUAGAAAGGGAUUGGAGCACUUCUGGGUCCUGAUUCUAAUUGAAUUUAACAUAGUCAUAUUUGUCAGUUUCUGAGUAGGAGUGAAGUAGCUGAUGCUGUAUUAUAAUAUUGUUAGAAUUUUGAAGGAGUCAAAAGCUUACUUGUCCUUGUUUGUAAUCUUUUAUUUUUGAUCAUGGAGCAAGAGUAUUUAUUUGCACCACAUCUGGAUUUGACUUUUGGCUAGAAAACACAUUUUUUUCUGAAGAGUUCCUCCCCAGUCUAAGACCCCAGAUCCAUAACACAUUGUAUUUAGCCUAUCAAGCAUUGUACUAUUGUAUGAGGGAUGCAAAGGUUCAUAUGUCAUGCUGUCAAAAAUUUACAACCUUUAGCACUUGACUAAGUAGAGGUUAAACUUUAAUGAAAACUUUACUAUAACAAUGGAGGCAUAUUCGAGAUGUUCAGGGAAAAGGACAGAUCUACCCAAGGCAGUAGAUGGGGAUGUGAGUGGCUGGGGGGACACAUGCCUACUGGAGAAGACGGUCAGAAAGUUGUCAGUAGUUGAAUCAGCUUGUUGGAAGUUCAGUAGGUGGGGAAGAAAGGGAAGAUGACAACAUUUGAAAACAUGGAGAUGAUUGUUUUGGUGUGAUGACUGUGAAAGUAUGCAGGGAUGCAGGGGAAACAAGGAAAAAUUGGGAUCAGAUAAUGAAGCAUCUGGAAUUCCAUGCUCAACUGUUCGGAACAUUCUGUAGGGAACUGGGGGUUGUUAAAGUGUCUGACUUGCAUUUAUGGGAUGAUAUGUCCUGACAUGCAUUUUAAUAAAACAAUGAUUUUGAUUUAGUAAGAAAAUUAUUCCUCUUUAGUGAUUAAAGACUGUAUUAAAGAGGCAAAAGAAUGAGGAAAGGAGAUGUUUUAGAAGACAAAUGAUGAAGACCUUUACUUGUAGUGUGGCAGAAAAAAUGGAGACUAGCAGAUAGCUUUGAGAUCUACAUCUGUAUAGAAGCUGCCAGAUUAAGUGACUGAUUAUGGGAAGUACAGGAGAGGGAGAAGUCAAAGUAGAUUGCUUAAUCCAGAGUCAUAGGACGAGUAAUGGUGACAUUGGUAGCUGAGAAAACACAAGGAGAGUUAAAUAGAAGGUUGUAGAAUGAAAUCCAAGCAGCGACUUUGAAAGGUAGAUGAGCCUUUCAUAAGGUGUAACAAGCCACCUCAAAAUUUCAUAGCUUAAAACGACAACCUUAUAUUAAUUAUGCUUAUGAGCUGAUGGCUUGGCAGGGUGGUUCUUCAGGUCUGGGCUGGCUUAGGUUAGUCUGACCUUUUUUUCACUGAUGAUCUCCCGGCGGCAGGGAAAUUGGCUGGUGGCUGGCUGGUUUAGGAUGGCCUCAGCAGGAAUGAUGUUCCACUAUCUGCUUCUGUUCAUCCAGCAGGCUAGAAUUACCUCCAGAAGAAUAAUAAGUAUACAACAAAUCCUGCAAGUAAGAUUUAAGAGUCAUUCUGCAUUAUGAUUUUGGACACGAGUUUGAUUCUGAAGCCCCUUGCUAGGUAUUGGGGAUACAAGAUGAAUGGAGCAAUGAGUGGGUGAAAUGGACAUAAGGAAGCAGGCAACCAGAGACGAGGCAAUAUGUCAGAAACCACUGAAUGGGCUGUAACUCUACCUUGGGAGAAAGGUAAAAAGGGCUUGGGAUUUUUUUUUUCCCGUAAAAUAAACAAAUAAAUUAAAAUUAGAACUAGUAAAAUUUAGCCAGGGCACUGGAGUGGGGAGAGUGAAAUGUGGAAGGAAGGGAGCAGCAGGAGCUGAAGUUUACAGGUGGAAAAUAGUAGAAUUUGUGGAGGAAAAUUCUAAGAGGCUUCAGCUGUUAGGGCAGAAAAUUGGAGGCAGGGGGUGGUUAUUAGCGAAACCAGCAUACUAGGCAGAGGCAGAGUCUGAAAGGACUUAUAAGCCAUUUUAAGGAUCUUUAGUCUUCAGAGCAAUGGGAAUUUGCUGAAGCGUGCUAAGCAGGAGAGUGAAAGUGUCAGACUUGCAAUUUAGGUGCAGCACUGGAUUUGAGAGUGACAUGACUGGAAGCAGAGACAUUUGGUAGGAGUCCUUUUUGGCAGUCAAAAAGCAGUGGACAAAGACGUGGAAUAGAGAAAUAGAGGUUGGGAGGGAAAGAGGACAAAACAAAAUAGGCAGUACUUGGUGGUUGAUUGGCUGCCAGAAGUGAGGAAGAGAGAUGGGUGGAGUCAAGGGUGACCCUGGAUUGCUGGCUCUCGUGUCUGGGUCUCUGGCUGUAUCUGAAUAGGAAGGUACCGAUGAGUGCAGUUGUAAAACCCAGCUGGAGGGUUGGAAAACCCAGAUGUCUGGUUUAUCCUAAAGUUUCUGAUUCACUAGGUCAGGUGGACCCAAGAAUUUGCAUUUCUAACAAGUUCUCAAGUGAUGCAGAUACAAAAACUUGAGAACAACUAGAUUAUUGGUUCUCAAAAUGUCUAUUGGAAUGUGCUAGAGUGUUUAUUUAAGGAAGUGGAUUCUCAUUCCCUAAAACUAAUUGAGUUCCAAUUUGUGGGCAUUGCCCAGGAAUCUACAUUUUUUAUAAAGGAUCAGAAGUGAUUUGUAAUGCUGAUGAGAACAUAGGCCACAUUUUAAGAAACAUUUAGAUUAAGGGCCGGUCUAUGGCAUGAGUUAGGUGUGUAUUACUAGCUAGGUCAUCUGGCCCCAAUUUUCUUACAUGUAAUCUCAUCAUGAGAUUUCAUAGUCUAAUAGCUAUUAUUUAUUGGGGGCUUACCAUGGGCUAGGCAUUCUCUAAUCAUUUUACAAUAUAUAAUUUUAUUUAAAGCUUGCCAAACUUUACAAAAGAGAUAGAGUUGGCCCUUCAUAUCCAUGGGCUCCACAUCUGUGGAUUCAACCAACUUUGGAUAGAAAAUAUUAGGGAAAACAAAAACAUAAAAUAGCAAUACAACA